AUGUAUUUGUGUAAAAACGGUGUUGGAGGGAGAUUAGAACUACUUCGAAAUAAAGAUGAGCACGUCUUCAUUUUGAGGAAUAUUACAUUACGGGACUCUGAGAACUACAGCUGCGUUUAUUCAUUCAAACAAUAUCCUACAAAGAACGUCAGAGGAUCAGGAGAAAACUCCAUCCAGGUCCAAGUCAUUGGUGAGGCUUUGGAGAUUUUCCCGGGACACAUUUUCGGAGCCUCCACAGCAAAAUCUGGUGAAAAUCUUAUGCUAAAAUGCAGCAUCUCUCACACUCACAGCACAAAUCGAGUAAUUCACAUGUAUUUGUGUAAAAAUGGUGUUGGAGAGAGAUUAGAACUACUCGAAAAUAAAGAUGAGCACGCCUUCAUUUUGAGGAAUAUUUCAUCACGGGACUCUGGUACAUACAGCUGCGUUUAUUCAUUUACAAAAUAUUAUAUGAAGAAUGUCACAGGAUCAGGAGAAAACUCCAUCCAUGUCCAAGUCACUGAUAAACCAAUUCAGCAGAGAGAUUCUCUGAAAGAAGUCAUGGUCUCUCUUGCCACUCUUCUCCUGGUCGGAGUCAUCUUUAUUCAAAUGUAUCGCUACAGAUUGAUAAUAUAUCAGCAUUACCAAUUAUGUCAACACCACGGACGGAGUGAACCUGCAAAUUCGGGUAACAAUGAAGGUUUAGGACAAGUACACUGGACAGUCAACAGUGACACAGAGGAAUAUGCCACAAUACCUGAAGUACGAGGUAACGUCAAAUACGUAACGUCGACUGAUAAACUUUUAACCUGUACAUUCCGUGAGAAUUUGAUCAUGAUCGUUGUGAUUUAUUUUGUGAAAUGCAUAGAUAUGUCCUGAAAUUCGUUUUUUUAAUUUACUCUAGAAUAUAGACUCUGCUUGAUUUUCCAAAUGAUUAGUUCUAAUGAUUAGCAUCAUUAGUUUGAAUUAAAAUGUUACAGUGGUAGCUUAUGUGGUUAAGGCUCUGGGUUGUUGAUUGGAAGAUCAGGGUAUCUUAUAUUUUCUCGUAUAUUAUUAAUAUAUUAACAUUAUUUUAAUAUAUUGUAUAUAUUUAUAAUAUAUUUUAUAUUUUAUAUAUUUUAUUAUAUGUUAUAAUUAUAUAACAAUAAUAUGAUAGGGCUGUAACAGGAAAAGAAAACAUUAUUUGGAAUGAACAUAUAUAAAGUAGGAAUCUGAUUGGUCAGAAUGUGCAGUACGUUUGUCCAACACUGUGGAUUGACAAGUUUAUUAAUGUGCUUGUUGAGUAAUAAUAAAGGGAUUUACAAAUCAUGUUUAAUAAAGUCAAAGGUUUUGUUGAUGUGGUGACACUUUGACAUUUAUGUUUAUGGCAACAAGAAUGUUUAUUAUGUUCAGCUAUAAAAGCCUUGAAACAGACAAAAGAGAGAGAGAGAGAAAGGAAAUUACUGUUAAGGCAGAUAUAAUGUUGAACAGGAACUAACUUGCCUCUUGGACUUUUUCCACAACAUUAAACCUAAUUCACUAUGUGUCAUUUAUUAAUAAAUGAAUCAUUGAAAUCAUUGGCAAAUCACUGAUAUAAUCGAGAAAUAAAUUGAUAAAAAAUCAUGUUAUUAUAUAAAAACAACACACAGAUGGUGUAAUGCCCAUUGUACCAUAUUUCACCCUCCCGAUGUACAGCAUUUUCACAUAACAGCAUGUUCCAUCGUGUGUUAUUCCUUACUGAUAUGACAAACAGAUAUGAAUAAGGUACAUUAUUGGGGUUUUUUUUUUUUUUCUGGUUGGCAAACCCUGACACCCAAGAGGCGUGCACAGUGCAAGAGGGGUGCAUUAAAAUAGAAAAGCAGGAGCUUUCAUGUGGAUCUGAGACCUAACACUGUGGCCCCUAAAACAGA